CAAGCUCGUUGUGUGAAAAAAUUCAUCUAGGAGGUUCUCUUUUGUUGCUGUUACAUUUAUUCAGGUGGAGGAGGAAGAGGAAGGAGAGAGGCAACUGAAUUGGGCAAUGAGGCUGGUGAGCAAACCGAGAGAGAAGUAGAGCUACUCGUUUCCUGCCAGGAGCUUCACCUUUCUCCCUCUGCACACCGGGUCCUCCGGGAAUGCCACUCCACAUCUCCCCUCCGACAACCCGAACUGCCCAAAAAAAGGCAGUCCACGGAACCAGAACAUUAACUCUUUAACUCCCACUGUUUUACAUGAUGUUCUGAUGUGGAAUACCAACAACAAAAAUCACAAAACCACAACAGAAGUUCAG
ensembl:lncRNA